rnacentral:misc_RNA from 1 species
UUGCAUUAAGGAUAGAGCAAUUGCUUGAGCUCUUUUUUGUUUUUCUACAAAAAAAGCGAGUGCGAAAGCCUGACCCUUG